UGCGGUGGUUAUGGCGGGAAGGAAACACCCGGUUACAUUCCGAACCCGGAAGUUAAGCUUCUCUGCGCCGAUGGUACUGCACUCGGGAGGGUGUGGGAGAGUAGGUCGCCGCCGCAC
rnacentral:rRNA from 1 species